rnacentral:lncRNA from 1 species
UGACUUUAUUGAAAUAUAGAUCCUUAACAUUAUAUCAAGCCUUGAUUAGUCAUUUAACUGAUGUGUACAAGAAGGGUUGGAAACAGCCAGAAAUAACUCUGGCCUCUACAUAACAACCACGAAGCCCAUGGAGAUCCUGUCUAAAAUUCAGUCACCUGUUCCAGAGUUGAAAACAGAAGGACAAUCUGAAAGUUGGCACUGAUGUUCAGUAGAGAUUUCCCAUGUGCUUUAUUUUGGGGUACCAUGGACCCAAAGCUCCCUCUCCAUGUGGCCCACACACUAGGUUCUCUAGGUGCCUCAGUGGCUCACACUUAAAUCUUCCCUUUAGCAUCAGGGACACAAUUUGGGGGUUGGAGUUAAUAAAAGUCAAUUCACCAUUUCUGUCUUCUAGUGUGGGCUUGGUUAGGGGGGGUGUAGAGGGUGGUGUUCCAUGAACUUAGAAAAGCAAUAUAGACCUCUGAACACAACAGCAUAAAAGACCGCCUCUACGGCAUCUUGAAAUGCACAUGGAAAUUCUCCUCCCAGGGUUUGCUGCUAGAUGUCACUUCUUAGAUUUGGAGUGAUGUGAUGUUUUCUGAACCAGGUGUUACUUUUCUCUGCUUCAUGGAUUACUUCUCUCAUAGUUCCUAAAAACACUCAUGGCAUUCACAAAUGUUAUUAGCCUGGAGUCUUAUAUAUCUAAUGAGGGGCUCUCAAAUACACCCUUGAGUUUCUUUUCCUUCAAUGUUUUGCUUCUUUUCUUUUCUGCAUUCCAUAACCCUUCUGAGCUCCC